rnacentral:misc_RNA from 1 species
AUCAGCGAAAAAAACAAGUUUGUUUUCUUUCCAUCAGUCAGUCAGCACAUUACGCUGCUGCUGUUAUCGCACGUUCGAUAUAACACGAUCGUCUUCCAUUUUUGGCCGUGACUAAGAGGCGUAUUAAAUACCACGUGAUUGUUUGUGAGUUGGGGUCAAAUUUCAAUUGAUAUACGUUUUGCUUGGAGUUUGGGAAUGUUUUCAACUAUUCGGUCAAUAUACCAUGGCAGACAAUGCGUUCGGGAUUUUCCUGGUUGCAAGUUCGUGUAUUCUGAGGUAGAGCAAAAGAUUGGAAAGAAGGCCAAUUUUGACAGAGUGUUACUACGUUUGAUUUUAGUAGUUGUGGCUGGCCUUGAGCGGGGCGUAAUUCAAUAGACCAUAAUAGCUUUAAUUACAUCGCCUCAGGUAAUAAUUCCUCGGUAUUUCUAUUGUGCUACGCCAGCUGAAAAACCUGCACAUCAGUUGCUUAACAAACCAAAAGAGAACCGAGAAGUAGAGGAGACUUAUCGUCCGUGUUGUUUGUUUACCAAGAGUAUAUCUCCGUGGUCUAACAACCUGUUUCGCCACCUGUUGAAUCACGACGAGAGUUACCAUGUGCAUCGAGUUAUUUGAAUCUGAGGAAAACUGACAGAACUGACCCUGUAAGCCUAAUGAAUAAAUAGGCAGCCAAAAGAAGGAUGACGGGCUUCUCAAUUACGACAUCUUGUCGUUGAGUUCCAUAGGUUCAAGGCCAGAACUGACGUCACGAUCAAAAGGCGCGAGAGCUCGAAGAUUUCAUACCACAAGAGUACACGGCCACACGUGUGAAGGCCACGAAAGUGAGGUGGUGAUUAAUUACUUUCAGUCUGCUACUGGGUAACUCAGAUGAAAGGGAGACAUGUAAAAGGACAGCAGCGACUUCAACCUUUUGGUUUCAGGUCGCAAAUUACAAAAUCGUUGGAAUACUUUCCAUUUUCACGGAGGAGGUCAACAAAAAAAAAAGACAAAAAACAUUGAAAUGGUUUUGAACAGUUUUUUCGCAUGAUGUCACAGGAGCAACAACAUGUUUCUUCAAACAAGUUGCAUCACGAAGCAUCAGCUGAGUGCAAUGGACACUUUGGCGUUCGUACGAAAAACAGGGGACAUAUCGAAAUCGACGCAAAAUGUUCAAACUUUUAGAAACGAAAUUGCGCACCGAUUCCACGUCAUUGCGCAAGACUACCGGGCCGUUUGCUAAAAAGCGGAGAAGACGGACAACGAGCUGCCAGUUCGACGCUAGGCGAGCGUCGAGACACACUUCACUGGUGGUUUAGAGCUGACUUCCGAACCUAUAGUGCAUCACCAAAUGAUGGCAGAUACAAACAUUGUUACUCCAAGUUCCAGUUCACUUUAUUCUACACGGCUUCCGUGAACUUUUUAACGGACGGCUAAAAUCCCCCCCCCCACAGAAAGUUUCUCGAAAACGCCUACAUAAACUUUUCUUUGCUGCAAAGAACUUGAAUUGUAUCGCAAGUAAACAACAGGACUACUUCUCUCCUUUCGGGCAACUACUGGCUUUUUCGCGUGAAGUUGGCGAUCAAAAAUCGGCAACACUAUGCUGCCCGAAAUACUUCAUGUGGUGAUGAUUGCAGCCAGCGUGACCUCGACAAUGUCGAUCCAAGUAGAAGGAUCGGUUUGGACGCCAUCGACCGGCAAAUGUCUCACUGACGAACAACUAGCGGCGGUAGGGCUCAACACGGCGCAAAAACCAGCCCGUUCAUUUUUGCACGACAAUAAAGCACUGGAACUGAGACUGGAAGCAUCGGACAGAGUCACUCACCAACUAUCGACUGCCGUGUUUGCCAUAUUCAUCCGGGAAGUGCUCGGCUACCGGAGCGUCACCAUAACUAAGCGGCGCGACGCUUUCAAUGUGUCGGCCGUGCUGACACGUAUGACAGGAUGCUCCAAUCCUAUCAAUUGCGAUUCGGCCGAGUUGCAGUCGGAAUCGUUCGUGCCGGAGACAAUGAUCAACCUGGAAGUGUGGGUACCACUCGGAUACAAUAUGGAACAAUGGUCGGAUACCGGAAACUUGGAAGAAUGCGGUCUAUUGGGACCUGGUGGAAGGUUCGGUUGGUUCAUGCCCGAGUGGACGAGCCAUCGUAUUCCGAUUGCCGAUCACUGGCGAAGUCUUCAAGAUCCGGAGAUCGCAUCGCAUUUUGACGUCGACAUCCAAGAGAUGAGCCAAUUGGCCGAGUUCACAAAGGAUCCUUCCACCGGAAGGUACUAUUGCGAUGCCAAUUAUUGCGACAACGGCGUUUUCUAUCCCGAUUAUUGUCGACCCGACAUUUACGGAAAUAUUCCACCUUGCGCCGUCCUUCUAGCUGAAUAUCCAGAUUACAUGGGCUUUUUGAUCAAGCAAAUUCCCUCGCUCAAACUGCUAGUCAAAGUCGUUUGGCUGGGACCCAACGCCGAUCGAGUUGUUCGUGAUUUCGUCAGUGACGUCAAACGACGCAAAUCCGGACGUUCCAUUCUGUUUUUCGCGUGGCGUCCGAGCACCAUUACCGAGAGCGAUGAUUUCCUCAGCUUGUCUUUCCCACAGUGUGAAACUUUGUCAACCCCCGAUAGCGACAUGAAAUGUGCCUACGAGUUCCAGCGCUUCGAAAAGGUUGCCUGGUCCUACCUAAAGAAGGGAGCCAAACUCGUCUUCGAGGCUCUUCAACGGGUCUUCUUCACCCAGGAAGAGUACACGGCCAUGUUGCGAUUGUACAAUAAAAAACAGGAAGAAGAAUCGCAAGUGGACAAAAUUGCUUGCGACUGGAUGAAAGACAAUCCGCAAGUUUGGUCACAAUGGAAACCCUCCGAUUUAAAUGUCAAAAUGGAGCUCUACAUCGGUGGGAUCUUCCCUAUCAGCGGACCGUCGUACAAGAGCGGACCCGGGAUGGUGCCAGCUGCCCAAAUGGCCGUUGACGCCAUCAAUCGGAACGAGACCAUCCUGAGGGACUACGAUCUGAAAUUGCUCGUCGCCGAUGGCCAGUGCUCAGCCGACAUGGUCAUGAAGAGUUUCAUUGAUUAUCUGCGCUUCAAACACUUUAACCGCAUGGUUGGCAUUCUCGGUCCGGCGUGUUCCGAAACGGUGGAAUCCGUGGCGGGAGUUUCAAAACGUUUCAAAACGAUCGCCAUCAGUUACAGCGCUCAAGGAUCGAGUUUCUCGGAUCGGGACAAGUUUCCUUAUUUCUUCCGCACGAUCGGCGAGACGGGCCAAUUCAAAUACGUCUUUUUAACUCUACUCCAACAACUUGGCUGGAAACGGGUGGGCGCAUUGAUGAGCGACGGCAAAAAGUACUCCGAUUACGUGACCACUGUACAAGAUUACGCAGAAAGUAACAAAAUCACGUUUGUUACCACACGUAAAAUAACGAGCAGCUCUUCACUCGAAUAUUUAAAGGAUCUCAAAGCAAAAAGAGUCAAGAUCAUCGUCGGUGAGUUCAAUGAAGAACGGGCUUGCGAAGUCAUGUGUCAGGCAUACAGACUCAACAUGACGGCCAGGGAGGGCUACAUCUGGUUUUUACCAAAUUUCAAUUCUGAACUCCUUCAGAGUUUCAAGCCUCUUUGGUACGAUGUCGACCGACGUGUCAAUCAAUCAAAUCGCAGUUUGGAAGCUAUUCCGUGUUCUACCGAGCAAAUCAUUCGGGCAAUUGAUGGUCAUUUCUACAUGACGUAUUCGAGUUAUGCACCAAACGAAAGUCUCAUGCAAGAAGGGACGAACGUCAGUGACUGGCGAAGGCGCUACGAGUUCCAGUGCGCCCGAUUCAACACAUCGACUUCGGAGUAUGCCAGUUACAUCUACGAUUCCGUAUGGACCUACGCCUUGGCCCUGGAUAAAUUACUGAAAGGCAACGAGUCGCUAGCUGCAGACUUCCAUACCGAUCACACCACAGAGAGUCUGAGAAGAAUCAUCAAUGAGACGGAUUUCAUUGGUGUUUCCGGAAGACUGAGAUUUACUGGCGGGCUGUCUCGCCAUUCUGAUAUCAAAGUCUUCCAAUGGAUCAACAAGUCAAGUGAACUUUUAGGCAGAUUCCUGCCCGUCGUGCGUUCAAAAUCAUCAAAGUUAAAUACGGGGCAUUCAAACUUCAAUAAAUCGCUCAUCAAGUGGCUGACAUGGGACGGAAAGCAGCCGGUAGACGACCCGGAACCUGGAACCAAUGUUUGCGUUUUGGAAGGAUUGGCACAUUUGUUAAAUGUCGAAUGCGAAGCCGCAAUUGUCGUCGCCAACAUUUUAGGUUUCGGGGUGUUCGCCGGCUGCCUCGUCGGUUUCUUCUUCGUUUUCAAGAGACGCUACGAACGAAAAGUGGAACAGACGGAAGAAAGAAUGCGCGCGCUCGGACUUCUUUCUUCCGGCACCCUUCUAACACUCGACGAAUGGGAAAUACCGCGCGAACGGAUCGUCAUUAACCGCAAGUUGGGCGAAGGCGCUUUCGGGACUGUCUACGGUGGCGAAGCAUUCUUCGAUGACAAAGGAUGGGUUAGCGUUGCCGUGGCCGUCAAAACACUCAAAGUGGGUUCAACUGUCGAAGAGAAACUGGACUUUCUUAGUGAAGCCGAAAUGAUGAAGCGCUUCAAUCACAAAAAUAUCGUGCGCUUAUUGGGUGUUUGUACGCGUAACGAACCCGUUUACACAGUCAUGGAAUUCAUUCUCUACGGCGAUUUAAAAACGUAUUUGCUGGCGCGACGUCACUUGGUGUACGAAAAAAGCCGCGAAGAUUCAGACGAAAUCUCCGGUCGUCGGUUGACGGCCAUCGCCCUAGACGUGGCUAAAGCUUUGAGCUAUUUGGCCGAACUCAAAUACGUCCAUCGGGACGUCGCAUGUCGAAAUUGCCUAGUGAACUCGAAUCGCGUUGCAAAGCUUGCUGAUUUCGGGAUGGCACGUCCCAUGUAAGUCAUAACAAUAUUUGAUUGGGAAAAAAAAAAAUACGUGUUUAUUAAUCUCCAAUGCUCCCUAUUGGUCAGGUACGAAAACGAUUACUACCGCUUCCAUCGCAAAGGCAUGUUACCCGUGAGGUGGAUGGCGCCAGAAAGCUUGGUAGACGGCCUCUUCACGCCAAUGACUGACAUUUGGUCUUACGGUGUUCUUCUCUACGAGAUAAUCACAUUUGGUAGCUUCCCAUUCCAGGGAAUGAGCAACAAUCAAGUAUUGGGGCAUAUUAAGAAUGGAUUGACUAUCGACAUCCCCGAUGGAGUUAAACCUCAACUGUAAGAUUUGAUCUGUAAAAGAUAAGAAUUGCUACAACAAAUUCACGUUGCUUUGUACUUUAUAAAACAAGGGAAACUCUAUUAAAAUCAUGUUGGCAUCGGACACCAUCCCUAAGACCUCAAGCGGCCGAAGUGGUUGAAUUGCUGACCAAUAACACCCGGUUGAUCCAGCCAUGUGUAGGCAUCCCGUUAUCAUCAAUCCAGAUAGAGGGGA